CACGGGGGGAGCAAGCGUUGUUCGGAAUCACUGGGCGUAAAGGGUGUCUAGGCGGUCAGGUAAGUGAGAUGUGAAAUGCCCCGGCUUACCCGGGGACCUGCAUCUCAUACUGCCUGGCUUGAGUAUGGGAGAGGAUGAGGGAAUUCCUGGUGUAGCGGUGAAAUGCGUAGAUAUCAGGAGGAACACCGGUGGCGAAGGCGGCGUCCUGGACCAAUACUGACACUGAGUGAGCGAAAGCCAGGGGAGCAAACGGG
rnacentral:rRNA from 1 species